UGGGGAAUAUUGCACAAUGGGCGCAAGCCUGAUGCAGCGACGCCGCGUGGGGGAUGACGGCCUUCGGGUUGUAAACUCCUUUCGCCAGGGACGAAGCGUUUUGUGACGGUACCUGGAGAAGAAGCACCGGCUAACUACGUGCCAGCAGCCGCGGUAAUACGUAGGGUGCAAGCGUUGUCCGGAAUUACUGGGCGUAAAGAGCUCGUAGGUGGUUUGUCACGUCGUCUGUGAAAUUCCACAGCUUAACUGUGGGCGUGCAGGCGAUACGGGCUGACUUGAGUACUGUAGGGGUAACUGGAAUUCCUGGUGUAGCGGUGAAAUGCGCAGAUAUCAGGAGGAACACCGAUGGCGAAGGCAGGUUACUGGGCAGUUACUGACGCUGAGGAGCGAAAGCAUGGGUAGCAAACAGGAUUAGAUACCCUGGUAGUCCAUGCCGUAAACGGUGGGCGCUAGGUGUAGGGACCUUUUGGGGUUUCUGUGCCGUAGCUAAUGCAUUAAGCGCCCCGCCUGGGGAGUACGGCCGCAAGGCUA
rnacentral:rRNA from 1 species